CCGUUCUACUUACCUUUAGUCUUGGUCUUGAGAUGUAGUCACAAUAUGAAGGCGGGGUGGAACCUCUCGGGGUUACAGCCUUGCUGAAUUAUUCACCCUUGUCUUUUGCGUACUUCUUGUUUCCUUGGUGGGUUCGCCCACCACUAGGACAAACAUAAACCUUUUGUAAUUGCAAUCAGCGUCAGUAACAAAUUAAUAAUUACAACUUUCAACAACGGAUCUCUUGGUUCUGGCAUCGAUGAAGAACGCAGCGAAAUGCGAUAAGUAGUGUGAAUUGCAGAAUUCAGUGAAUCAUCGAAUCUUUGAACGCACAUUGCGCCCUUUGGUAUUCCAAAGGGCAUGCCUGUUCGAGCGUCAUUUGUACCCUCAAGCUUUGCUUGGUGUUGGGCGUCUUGUCUCUAGCUUUGCUGGAGACUCGCCUUAAAGUAAUUGGCAGCCGGCCUACUGGUUUCGGAGCGCAGCACAAGUCGCACUCUCUAUCAGCAAAGGUCUAGCAUCCAUUAAGCCUUUUUUUCAACUUUUGACCUCGGAUCAGGUAGGGAUACCCGCUGAACUU
rnacentral:rRNA from 1 species